rnacentral:lncRNA from 1 species
AAUACCCUGGGCUUGGCUUCCAGUGGUGGCAGUCUUAUUUUGUGAAGAGUGAUGUCUGAAGGGUCUGGUUGGCAAGGUGGUGUGCAUUGUGAGAGGGUAGGGUGUGGCGAAAAUAAGGCCUGGAGGGAGGAAACUUUUGUAUAUCUGGUGGUCUUAUGCCUCACACAGGUGAGAUCAUCCCAUAAGGUGAACAUUUUACCAUUCUAAUAACUAACCCUCCUGUUAUGGGCCCAGAGUUAGAUCCAUUUAGAAUUGAACUCCACUCCAAACAAACAAAGCAAGGCUUCUUUCACGCUCUGUCAAGUGACAAUAAAUAAAAUAAUUAAACAGAUAUCCAUAAACCUCACAUAAGACCUUUUAAUAUGUUAGGGAACCACUAUCAAUUAGGAUUGAUUUAAGUUUCUUUUGGAAAAAAAAAACUAUUUGGGCCUUUUCUCCACCAUAAAAUCACUGAAUAAUCAAACUCUUGCUGUCUUUCUUUCUCAUUUUUUAAAUAAAAGGGGACUAUAGUUAUUCGAUAAAAUUACAUUAAUAUGAAUAUUCAAAGGGUAGCUAUAAGUACACAGGAGAGACAUCCAGCUAAACACAUCUCAGUUACCUGAGGAUAAAAGUAAGAAAAAUCUAAUUUAAUCCAAUCUAGUAAAAG